AUUGAACGCUGGCGGCAGGCCUAACACAUGCAAGUCGAGCGAGCGGCGGACGGGUGAGUAAUGUAUGGGGACUGCCCGCUAGAGGGGGAUAACUACUGGAAACGGUAGCUAAUACCGCAUACUAUCGGAUAACCCAUAUGGGAUUAGCUAGUAGGUGAGGUAAUGGCUCACCUAGGCGACGAUCCCUAGCUGGUCUGAGAGGAUGAUCAGCCACACUGGGACUGGGACACGGCCCAGACGCCUACGGAGGGAGCAGUGGGGAAUAGUGCGCAGUGGGCGGAAGCCUGAUGCAGCCAUGCCGCGUGUAUGAAGAAGGCCCUAGGGUUGUAAAGUACUUUCAGUCGGGAGGCGUUACCGACAGAAGAAGCACCGGCUAACUCCGUGCCAGCAGCCGCGGUAAUUC
rnacentral:rRNA from 1 species